CGCCCCGUGUCUUUAUCCCACGCUCGCUGCUUGCCCACCUGCCUGGCAUUUUGGCGCGGGGGGCGCUUAUAACGGCCCCCGCGCGUCCACGAGAGGGGCGUCCGGACCGCGCUACGUUUCGCGACCGUCGAGAGACGUCGGGGCUGGGUGCGGAGGCGCCCGCGUGCGUGACAUCUGCCCGCCGCCGCUCGAGCAGAAAGGGACCCGGGGGUCGAUGCCAUUCGUGCCUCGUCCCCCCGGCACCUCGAACGCGGGCGUCGCGGUCUGUGUCUGUCGCCAGCUUGGUUUACGAGCGAUCGAAUUAGACCGUCCUCCCCCCUUCUGCCUUGUCUGGUACCCUCAUUUGUUGCGUACAACUACACGUAUGUGUGUGCCGGUAACUGUAGAAAUCAAGCGUGGAGAUGGUGGGUAUACGGAAAAUUAAUUUAGACAUUUCUCUCUGAACGGGUGCAAUAAAACAGCACUUUGGACAGAGACUCGCGAGGCCUGAGCUGUGACUAGAAGCCCGGUGUCCUGUAAUGACUGAUCCUGCUUAUCCUGGGACUUUCCUCUAGUGUGACGAUGAGGGAGAAGGCUAAUAGAUGACUCUUUUUUGUGUCAUAUAGUUGUCUCGUUUAAUGGGAGAGGUGUCGUACUGAGCAGUAUUUUCCGGUACGAUCAGAACAUUUCUCUCUCCGUGAUACAGGACUCUGCGCUCGUGAUUCAAAGACUGUUAUAGCAACCUCUGUUCAGCGCGUUUGAAAUGCUGGGAUCAUAGUAAUGUAGCUGAGGAGUAAACAUGGGAUAAAUGCAUCCAUUUCCACAGAACAGGGACAGACCUCCUAACACGCGUACUUGGUAACAUACAAUUUGUUUCCUUCCCCGCAGAUGUCUUUUCAUUCCUGUUUUGCAAAAUUGCGUUAGCCUUGGGUGAACAAUUUAUUUUGACUGGCAUGUAAAAUAUUAUACUUGCAUACAUUCAUUGUGAUAAAGAGCAAGCAAGUAUAUUUUGUUCCUGGGCUGGUAAAUUUUCAUGAUGAUUAUCCAAGGACUCUUUGUGCUACACAGUACCACAAACUUACCCUGGUAUAUUUGACAGUUUUAUAAUGUUUGAACAUAUUGUAGCCAUCUGGAAGAAUCAAACUUAUAUUCCGUGGAGGAUAUGACACGAUUGGGAAGAUAAAAGGAGAAAAAUGGGGUCAGAGUCUAGCAGCAUGCAGCUGUAAGACCUAUUAUUUGGGACAAUUACAGAAUUAAAAGCAUUAACGUGGUGAAAGUAGGUGUAUUUAUAACGUACUGGAAUAUCUUUACAUUGCCAGAAGCAAACUGGUUUUACUGAAUUAACUCGCAGUUCAGUAUUGCAUUGUGCCAUCUUUAUCUGAAAAGUGUCCAUCCAAAAUAAAGUUGCUGGUGGAGUUUCUGAAUUAACAAGUGAGGCUUGAGCCUGAUCAGCCUAGCUGGCAGUAGGGAUUGAUGAUUAUUAACCUUAAGUGUUUAUGUAGGUUGUUAACAAGACGUUGCAGUCUAAAUGUGUUGCUUCAAUAUGGAUCUGUCACUGUCUUCUUUUAAAUUUUAGUUUUGAGCCUUCCUGUGACAGAAAUAAGGUUAUUUCGCUGAAUACCAGGAAAAAGAAAACUUCCUAGCUUAGUCUUAAACUAUGGAACAGAUUUCCAAGGAAGUUGUCUUUUUGCUUGGGGCACUUAACAUUUAGACUGGGGAUGGUACCAGCUAAUGUAAAAUAGGGAGCAGUCUUGCCUUGGCUGUUUUCCCUGGAGCUUGUCAUUUUCAAACUUACCUUCUGAAGAGUAAAUAUUUUGCCAUUUGCUUGCACCAGAUCGCAUAAACUUCAAAACGUUCUGUGUGGGAAGAUCCCUGCAACCCCCAUUUCAAAUGCAUAAGUUGAACUAGAUGGUAUUCUGUCAGUCUAUUCAAAGUAUGUUAUUUUCCCCAGGAUCCAUCUUAUAAAUAUUUCCUUGGCCACGGUUAUAGGCGAGAGUUUGUUUGAAGGGAAAUUCUGAAUAAAUUCCCAGGCCUUAUCCACCAUAUUCUCUUUUGCAAACAAGUGCACUCCGGUUCUAUCAUAAAACGGGGAGGAUUGCUUUCACUGGAGCUUCCUGUUAUAAUAUUGGCAGAAUAUCUCAGUAACAGUCCCUUUCCAUCUCUCAUAUCUGUAAGGGCUGUUGCCUUACAUUUAUUGGUUAUGAUGAUACAACAUCUGCUGAUGUGCUGCUGAGGAAGGGAGAGAGAUGGAAUGGUGAAAAGUCUAAGGAGACAUAGUUAACUUGAAAGGAUUCUAGAAAUUUGAAUGGAGCAAUUGCUCUCAUGGGACUACAACGAUAUUGCAGGGGGUCAGGCUAGAUGAUCUAUUCAGGUCCCUCCCGACCCUAGCUACUAUGAAUAUGUGGCUUCAGCCAGGUGUAAGAUGGGUUUGAUUCCUUGCACAGCAGUUGUAGUGUUCCUGAUUCCUAGUCUGCUGCUGCUCCUGCUGUUUCAGCUACAGGCCCUCUACCAUGCUGAGGCAGCAAAGUUGUGUUAGGUUAUGCCAUCUUGUUUGUGGGGUAGUUUUAUGAUGGGCAUGAGAACGGGGAAGGGGACUAGGAAGAGACCCAUAAAAGUUUCCUCACUUAUCCUAAGCAAAACUUGCACUCGGAAUUGAAUAUCUGAUGGGGGUAAUCAGCUGUGCCACCAGUACUGAAUGAUACCACCAGAGCAGAACACAAACCAUCCCACACUAAGAGCGGCCAGCCCAUUUGCCCAAAACAACAUUGUGGUUUCCACUACUCAUUCUCUUUCCAGGCCCUUAGAACCGAUAGCUGGUAUUCGUUUUUAAAAAUAAAUCCUUUUUUAUAUCUGAUCUAAAAUGGGCCAACAGGCAUGAAUGGUUAAAAUGCAUGGAUUUGUAUAGUGGCAACCAUUUUCAUGUUAAUUCUUUAUACUAUACCAACUGGCUGAGUACAGUUAACCAGUCUAAGUAUAGGGAUUUGCAUAUUGAUUAUGUACAGAAAUAGCAGCAUGGCCAUUAUUAUGUAGAUUAGAUGCUCUAGUAAAUUAUGGUUCAGAGGAUAACAUAACUGAAAAAUAGUGCAGCUGUGGGUACUACCUUCUUAAUAGCCUGAGCUCUGCUUGAUUGAAACUAAAAAGUUUUCAGCUUUAAUUUUUGAAGAUAAAUAAAGUAGGUAACUUAGAUCUGUAAGCAAAUAGGGAAUUUUGGAUUAUGUAGAUAUGUAGAGACAGCAAAUAAAAUUUCUUAGUUAAUUUUGAGGAACAAAUCCAUUUUAAAUGAUUAGGUUAGGUAAAAGGAUAGAAAAAGGCAGAAGUUCAAGUUACCAUUCUUUAGUUGAUAGGUGUUGAGUUGGUUGUCAGGAGACCUGGAUACUAUUCCUACUUCUCUUUGACAUGCUUUUAUACUCUGACUCCAUUUCCCCUUAUAAAAAUGGGAUAACACUACUUACCCUGCGUUGUAAAGGACUUUACAUACUUUGGCUGAAAAAGCACUAGUAUGUAUUUAUGCAUAUGUUAAUUAUUGAUGUGUCAAAAGCGAAUAUUAAGUUUAGGUAGAAUUUUGGUUUCCUAGAGGCAUGACUUUUGUUGUAAAAUUGUAACCUUGGAAUAGAAGUCUGAGUUUUAUUUAUUAAAUGCUUUAAGCCUGUCAGUUUACAGACAUUUUAAUAAUUUGUGCAGGCCAUGUACGCACAGAUCUCUUUCAGUUUUGCCCUCUGCUAACACAGCUUUCCACCUAUGUGGACUGGGGCUUUUAGGUUGGAGCUGUUCUUUAUAGGAAUAUCAUCAGAUCUUUGGGAUAUUAUUUAAGUUGCUUUCCCUGUUGCUAGAAUCCAUGUCUACUUGACUACACCAACAUACCAUACUCCUGCAUCAUGGGUUGUAUAAUGACCCUUUAGAAGUGAGUUUGAAGUAAGUACAAACUGCCCUUUAAACUAGUUACUAAAUUGGAUUUACUUCACCAGUAAUGGAAAGGAAGAUGAUAAUGUUUAAGUUGGCAUUGACUUUCCAAUCUGUUUUCCUCUAUCUAAAAAGAAACUGCAGUGGCAGCAUUAAUUGUAGCUUCCCUGCUGCCAAAUUUCAGGAUCUGUUGGGAGCCCUGUGGGCUGGAUAGUGUGGCCCUACACAUUAGGUUGGACAGGCAGGACUGGGGUCUGAUUGGGGUGGCAUAGGGCCUGACUCUGCAAGGGAUCUGGUCCAUGGACUGGCCCUAUGCUACUUAUCUGGCCUAUGGGGCUGAAAGGCUGAGCAUCACUAAUAUAAUAUACUGAAUAUUUUCAACCAUUAAGCAGUUGGUAUAGCUAUUUAGUAUUCAUUGACGGAUUAUUACUCCUCAGACAAAUUCUGAUCUCAGCUAUGCAUGAAAAGGUCUAGAGUACCCAUAGAUUUGCAGUGGUGUAAUUGAGAACGGCAUCUGUUUCUAUGGUGUGUUUAGAAGAACAAAGUACUGUGAAUAUCUUUUACUAUGGGUAUUUUAGGAACCCACAUUGUAUUCCUGUCUGGUUUCUGUGGCUGAAUUGGUCAAUGGCUUCUGAGCAGGUCAUCUAAUUAUUAGUGGUUUGGUUUGGGGUGGGAGGCAGGACUGUGAACUGGAAUCCUAUUUCAGCAUGUGAUCAGUGAAUAGCUUGGCACAUGCAACUGUUACAGUAAUGAAAGGUCAGGAGGCAGUGUUGUUUAGUGGAUUGAUUAUGGCUCCUGGAGUCUGAGAAAUUAAAUUCACUUCCAGGUUUUGUCACUGGCUCAUGAAGGGCCAGAUCCACGAAGGUGUAUAGGGGUCUAAAUAACUUUUGGUAACAGAUCUGAGAGACCUUGAGCAAGUCACUUCUCAGUGGAAUGCAGUAGUCUUUCCCCAUAUCUAAAGAGGGUCAAUAUUGUUUACCUACCUUUUGUGUUGUGCUUUUAGAUGCUUACAUGAAAAGUGCUCAGUUAAAUAUUUUAUUACUAUUUACUUAUUGGCAAAUCUAGGUAAUCAGUGUUGCUAAAAAUAACCCAGAUAGUGGGGUUGCUUUUUAUAAGUGUCUAGAAGAUUAUUGCCUCCAAAAUAAAACUAUGUUUAAUCUUUUCUGUAUCUUUUAUUAUCAGAAGGAUGAUGAUCACCUGCUAAACAAGUGUCUAAUAAAGUUUAACAAGAUAUUUAGACUUUAAAUUGCUUUGAUUAACAGAGUAAAUUGCCACAUAGAAUCCUUGCUGCUAAUCAAUUAGUAGUUUUCCCUAAUUUAUUUUACUAAAAGUGUUCCCCGAAAAUGAUCAGAAGAAUCCUGCAACCCUUGCAUUAAUCAAAGCCAUAUAGGCACACACUGGGGGAGGAGAGAAAGAAAGUUUGCAGUGGUUAGUAUUACAGAAGCAAUUUGAUGCGUUUUGGCAUCACUCUGAAAACAAGAGAGGCAGCAGGAUUUGGAGAGCCAAGGGAACUGGCUUGAGUCUUGCAACUGGAGCUGUCGCAUUGCAGGCUGACCUCAUGCAAGGGGAAGAGAAAAGAGCAAAGAUAGGCAGAGCAGGUAGGAGAAGAAUGGGAGGGAUAUAGAGGGGGGUGUGUGGAGAGGAGCAGAAGGAACUUGGUUUAACUUAGGGAAACCUUACUGGAAGUGGACUUUGGGAAACAGAAGGCCAGAUUUUUGGAAAUAAUAGAUACCUAAUAUUCAGGGACCUACCCAUUGACUUCAAAGUGAGUUAGGCAUCUCCAUGCUUUUGAAAAUUCCAAGGCUUCUGCAUCUUUACUCUCUAAAAACAUGUGGCUUCUCCUGGAAAUGGAGAUUUGUGAUGUAUUGCACGAAAAACAUUCAGGGUUAAUAUCUGCUUGAUGCAGACUUGGAACACGUCUACACUAAUACUGUUUUGCUGUAAUAUACUGGCAUAGCCAAGCUAGGCACAAAUCACACCUGAUUAUCACAAGUAUGCUUCAAAAGAUUGUAAGGUAGACCUAGACUUAACCUUUCCCUGUCAGAAAUUUCUCUCUCUCAUUUUUAAAAAAAUUGUUUCAAAAUCAGGAAAGCUUAAGUUGUAGAAUUGGCUGCUAUUUGGGAUUACAGCUAGGCAAAACAAGGACCUGAUCCUGCACAGCUUACCUCCUUGGGAGUUUUGUAGGACCAUGAACAGGGCUAUAGUGAAGAAAAUUGUUCUUAGACGAGGCCUGUUUUGAGAAUUGCUUUGUAUGUUGCUGCUUCUUUUGAGUAUUUGCUUGAACUUAUGCUUUUACUCCUUGUUUUGAACCACAAACGCUUUCGUUUGAUUUCACAAUAGCUAACCUAUGUGCUAUUGUAUAGAAAUCUAUUAAGUAAACUGAGAUUUUUCCCUUUAAAGUUUCCCCCCCACACACCUUUCCACCCUUCAAAACUGUAAUUGAAACAACUGACAGUUCACAGUACUGAAGUUGCUUUAUCCAUAAUUGAGGAAAUACAAUCCUGUUUCAGUAACUGCUUGCUGUAACUUGCAAGUGUUUGUUAUCCUCCCAGUCUAGGAUGUUUUGAGUUGCAUUAUAUAAAUAAUGAUAAUUUUCCUACCUAGAAUAAAUGCAUCUAUUUUGAAUACUUAUGGUUGGUUGCUUCUUCCUUUAGUACUGCAAAUAAUACUGUAGUUAAAAAGAAAAAUGCGGUGACUGAUUUGUCUUAUUCUUUUUUUUACCGAGUAGAAUCUGUGAAGUGAAUGAAUGAGGAAUAGUUUCAAACCUGUGCUCAGGAGAGCCAGAUAUAAACAAAGGAUUCCUUCUUCAUAUUUAUAAGUGCAUGAAAUUAUAAUAUUUUGACUCAAUAAACAAUAAUUGAUUUUUCUUUUUUCUGCAAGGAGCUCUGAUAAUUUAUUCCUCAAGUGUAAGUGAGAUUCCAGAGUCCUUUAGUUGAAUGAUGUGCAUGCAAGCUUCAGAUGUAGAGUUCAGUCAUUGUAACUGCUUCAGCUUCUUUCACUGAAGAAACCGGAACAAUAGUUUGUUUGUAACGACCCUGAAACUGAGUACAAAGGCUUAUCUGACCUUUGAACCUUGGUGGCUGUGCAUCUGAAGGAGGAAUUGUUAAUGAAUGGGAAGGACUGCCCCCCACUCCAACUUUCCCCAGGAAUGUAUAAUGUCAUUUCUUCCAAUUAACAGAUGAAAAAAAAUGUGUUGAUUUUUUAUAUGACUAGGUACCUUCCUACCACUCUGAUAUGAUGCUCUUGUAUGUUGAGGAAAAGGAAGGGAAAAAAAAGUUGGCUACUAUUGUUUGCCUUAAAGGAAUUUUUUUCUAAGUGUGGUUACAUUACUUUGAAGUCUCACUUUGUUUAUUGCAUGCUACUUGGCUGAAAUCACGGUCAUGAAAAUAUUGUCAGUUUUAUGUCAUGAUUAUCUCUUUGUUCUCUAAUGCGAUUAUUUUAUCACAACCAGUAGGAGGCAACAGGAAGGAAUAGUUAGCCUUCUGAAGACAUCGUUAUCCUUCUGUAUAAUGUGCUGACUGUGUCAUUCCCUGUUACAGUUUUUAGCAAGUUGAAGCAGUGUCUUGUAAUAGUUAUAGUCAUCAGUUCUUAAAAUUCAACAAGAUGAAGAGUAAAUCAUACAGGUUUUGAAAUUGGAUAAGCCAUGUUGAGCCAAUAGAGGCUUUAAAACGUUCAUGCCACAUUCAUGCUCAGCCUUAAGUAUGCAAGCUUUUAGUUUAAGUACAGAACAUACAGAAAAGUAAUCUUUUAAUAUAUUUUUAUUGCUCAUUCAAACACCUUGUCCUGUAUACAUGUGCUUGCACACAUGUUCAUGUGCGCAGUAAUCUAAUCUAAACACUGCCCUCUGAAGAAGUAUUGUGGAUUUGCCUUGUUCAGAUCAAGGAAAGAGGAAUGGGAUUACACUCCUGGCCCCAUUGGGGCGGAGACUGGGUGUAUUCUAGAACCUGUACCACCAAAAAAGCCCUCAGGAAGUCAAAGCUGUCCAAGUGCCAACACUACUCCUGAUUCUGGGGUCCCCUGCCCUCCUUUAGUCUAGCACCUGAGAGAGAGCUCAGCCACCAGAAGGUGACCGCAUCAGCUUGAAUGAGAGUGGCACCCAGCAUCUGUAGCUUGAUUGACCCUGGGCAUCUUCACUCUUGGGUAUUGUUGUUAGUGUCCUUAAGAACAUUUUAAAUAUCUUUGUCAUGCUCUAGAAAUCUGGCAGAGGAAAAGCAGCAGCAACCAAGGAUACUUUUCAAUAACAGAUCCUUAGUACAAGUAGUGGUUCUUGUUACUGUUUCAAGAACAAAUUCCACUUAUUUUGUGGUGUGCAAGGUGAUUAAACUUGUUGUUUCCCAAAGGAGUAUGAAGAGCUUUGGAUGGCACUGGUAAAGUUUUAGCUUCCACGGGUUUGCAUGAUUCUUUCCUCCCUUUGCCUGUUCUUUUGUUCCAAAAGCAGGAUUGAAGCUUUUUCUGUCACAUAGACCACUUCUGAAGAUGGAGACUUCCUUAGCUUCCUGAUCUGGAUUAUGUAACAUCAGUAAAAAAGGACCUUCAAGGCUGCCACGUGUUGACAAGGGGAAGUAAUCCACCUUGUCUGGGUUGGCAUAGGAUGACUCGAGGAAAGUUUGUCAUCAUCGUUUAAUGAAUGGAGCAUGUAGCCAUAAAUAAAGCCAGUUUUGAAUGCAGCCAGAAAAAGCAACCGCACUUUUUUUUUUAUUUUCACAGUACUUAAAAUUAUAAUGUAGGUGUUUUUCACUUUUGGAAGCUGAGCAUAUGUGUAAACAAAUUCAAAUAAACACUUUGAGAACUGGC